UACGUAGGUGGCAAGCGUUGUCCGGAUUUACUGGGCGUAAAGAGCGCGCAGGCGGUCGUCCAAGUCGCGUGUGAAAGCCCCCGGCUCAACUGGGGAGGGUCACGCGAUACUGAUUGACUCGAAGGCAGGAGAGGGUAGUGGAAUUCCCGGUGUAGUGGUGAAAUGCGUAGAUAUCGGGAGGAACACCAGUGGCGAAGGCGACUACCUGGCCUGUUUCUUGACGCUGAGGCGCGAAAGCUAGGGGAGCAAACGGG
rnacentral:rRNA from 1 species